AGAAGAUCUAAAAAGUCUCUUACAGGAUCAAUUGGAAAACAACCACUCUACCAGAAACAGACCUGUUUCUGAACCUUUGAAUGAGGAAAUUUCCUUCCCUGAAAUAGAGAUGGAAAGCACCCUCACUAUAGCCCAGUUAACAGACUGCUUCUCUCGUGCAGUGCAAAUCUUGUCUGAAUUUAAUCCCCAAAACCCUUCCCCUGCAAUCCCAGCUUCUCAUGUUCCUUCUCCUACAGAAAACCAAAUUCCAAUGCAAGGGAGAUCUUGUCCUCCUAGAGAAACCUGUCCUUGUCAAACUGACCCACAGGUGCAAAAUUCAACUAGAGGCCUGUUUCCUCUAAGAGAAGUACCUGAAAUAGGACGAAAUGGGGAUGUGGUGACUUUAAGACAUAGGAUAACGUUUACUCCCCAAGAAAUAAAUGAAUUUACACGAAAUAUCCCCACAUAUGAACAAGAUCCUUUUCUAGUAACAAAAAAGAUGGGAGACAUAUUUUUUCAAUAUAAUCCGUCUUACAAGGACGUUGAGAGCUUACUACAGGCUUUUUUAAGUGAACGUGAAAAAAAUAAAAUAAUUGCUCAUGUCAACAAAACCCGGGGGCGUAAUGCAGCACAUUGGCCAUCUCAGGAUCCCGAAUGGGACUAUAAUAAUCCUGAGGACUAUCUACAACUAUACCGUUGUAGAGAGGCCAUCCUCACGGCCAUGAAGGAAUGUGCGGACAGUACAGAUAAGUGGAUGGAACUGGAAAAAAUUAAGCAAAAGGAAAACGAAACACCCUCCAGAUUUAUGGACAGAAUUAUCGAGUUUGGGGACAGAUACUUAGAUUGGGACUUAAAUAAAGAGAAUAGUUUAAGACAAGUUAGAAGAAUCUUUGUAAAUAAUUCAUGCAAAGUAAUUAAAAAUUAUUUUAAAACACAAUGCCCAAGAUGGUCAGAUAUGGACCUUGAAGAAUUGCGAAAAACAGCUAUAUAUGUUUUUAAGGGAAACGAAGAAAAGGAGAAAGAGAAUAAUGAUGACAUGGAGGAAAUGAAGAAAAAAAUGAGAUGUGUAAUAGAUAGGAUAACUAAAUUAGAAAGUGGGCAUGAUAAUGAACCAACGACAAUUGCCCCUCUCCAGAAAUCCAAUUAUCAAUCCAUUACUUGCCACUUCUGUGAGAAGAAGGGCCACAAAAUGAUGGAAUGUAGAACCC
ensembl:lncRNA